rnacentral:rRNA from 1 species
UACGGAGGGUGCGAGCGUUGUCCGGAAUCAUUGGGCGUAAAGGGCGCGUAGGUGGCCUGCUAAGCGUGCGGUGAAAGUCGGGGGCUCAACCCCCGAUCGGCCGUGCGAACUGGGAGGCUUGAGCACUGUAGAGGCAGGCGGAAUUCCGGGUGUAGCGGCGGAAUGCGUAGAGAUCCGGAAGAACACCGAUAGCGAAGGCAGCUUACUAGACUGUAACUGACGCUGAUGCACGAAAGUGUGGGGAUCAAACAGGAGUUAGAAACCCUAAGUAU